CCUACGGGAGGCAGCAGUGAGGAAUAUUGGUCAAUGGCCGGAAGGCUGAACCAGCCAAGCCGCGUGAAGGACGAAGGUGCCAAGCAUUGUAAACUUCUUUUGUCAAGGGACAAAAUCAGGCUCGAGAGCCUGACCGAGGGUACUUGAAGAAAAAGCAUAGGCUAACUCCGUGCCAGAAGCCGCGGUAAUACGGAGGAUCAGAGCGUUAUCCGGAGUUAUUGGUUUUCAAGGGAGCGUAGAUGGGUUGUUAAGUCAGUUGUGAAAGUGUGCGGCUCAACCGUAAAAUUGCAAUUGAUACUGGAAGCUGUGAGUGCAGUUGAGGUAUGCGGAAUUCGUGGUGUAGCGGAGAAAUGCUUAGAUAGCACGAAGAACUGCGAUUGCGAAGGCAGCCUACUAAACUGCCACUGACAUGGAUGCUCGAAAGUGUGGGUAUCAAACAGGAGUAGAUACCCGGGUAGUC
rnacentral:rRNA from 1 species